CUCGAUAUUCGAGACUGAUCGAGAAUUGAUAAAAAUGAGAAAUACAUGAUAGAAAAAUUUAUUAUUCAUUAUUCCCGGUUAAAAAUUCAAAAAUUUGUAUUAAUAACUCAAGGUAUUUCUCAACAUUUCACUAAAAUUUUUCACUUUGUACAUAUAUAUAAAUAUACACUUUAAACAUUGAAAUAAGUCCACAUUUUUUAGUUUAUCAUUUUUUAUCUAAAUUUAUUAAUUUAAAAAUCACUUAGCAUAUUCACCGUUGAAAAGGUUAGAUUGUUUACCAUUAUGAGGAAAACGUGUGUGACCACUAAAACUAUGAUAAUAUUAUAAAAUUUAUAUUAUUGUGAUAACAUCAUGUCGCUCUAAAAAAAUUACUCCUCUCGAGCCAAUACCAGGAGUGACUGAAGCACUUUCGCGUUGUACUCCUUUCGACGUUGGUAAAGAUAACCCUGGUCGAGCUAAUACCCAGGGUGCCUGAAAUAAUUUCACAUAGUACUCCUUUUUGCAUUGGCGGCUUUUGUCCGCGCUUUGAAAAAAUAACACUGGUUGAGCCAAUACCGUGGGUGACUGAAGUCUUUUCGCACAGUACUCCUUUCUCUGCUCUUUCCCUCUAAAAACAUAACCCUAAUACUCGAGGGAACAGAAGUACUUUUGCGUAGUACUCCUUUACAAAAAUAAUCCGGACGUACCGGUACCCAAGUAUUUUAUUCAGAGGUUUUGUGGAAUCUGAUAGUUGUCGGAAUCAGAAUUGAAACCGAUCAAAAAAAGUAGUAGGUGCCAUGAAUUCAGAUAUUAUUGGGUUUGAUAUUCGACACAGAAUUUGUAUCGAUUUUGGGUGUUACGGAAACAAGUUUUAUCGGGUUUGCUAUCAGAGACAAAACAAGACGACUAUCUCGCUUACAGAUUUGAAAUGUAAAUUAAGAAAUCAAGCUAUUUUCUUAUUUCGAAUUAAUCUAUCUCUAUUUAUAUUAUAAAACACGAAAUGUCUUAAUUAUUGAGUUUUUGGGAAAAAAAUCCGGAUAUUUAAAAUAUUAGAUUUUCUAAACGUAAUUUAAUACCCAAAUGCGUCUUUAUUCAUUCAAUAAAUGUUAUCUCUUAAAAUCUUUCUUUAAUUCGGAACUCAUUAAAAAUUUUAAUAGCAUUGCUUCCAAACGUAUUCAUUAGCUAGUGUUGCCACAUUAGUAAAUAGCUGAUUCAAAUAUUGGUUUUGCGUAUGUUCGAAAAGACGAAAAUCCAAACAGAUUCUGUGACACUGUUGAAAAUCGGAUUUGGUUUGCAAUUUUGACAGCGGGGAAACUAGCUAGUACACCAUCACACGAUUUCAGGGUUAAAAGUGGUAUGGUUGGAUAGGGCUAAUGUUCCAGAUUAAGAAAAGUUAUAGUUUUCGAUAAAUGCAAAUAUCUCAAAAAGCCAUAAAUCAGCGGCAACUAUAUACAUGUUUUUUCCUUGAUCUGGAGGACCUCCUGUAUCUGUACAUACCGAUUUUAACCCCGAAAUCCUGGGAUAUACAGGACGUGUUAGGAACUCUGAAAUACUGAAAUAAUUUUUUAUUGUUCCUAACUACUACAUAAUUGCUGGGCCUUAAGUUAGAGAGAUCCCCUUAUUCGACGUAGAAAAAGUUUCGCACCAUUUCUCAGAUAUUUCUACGAUCAGUGAUGUUGAAUUUUUUCUAUUCAUCCGCACUUCCAAUGCGCAUGUACCGUCGAACAUGGCAUGCUUCUUAUCAUUCAAUCGUUUUUUUAGUAAUUCUUCGUAUAUCUGGGAGUAUUAUCAUAUUUUUCUCUUUAAACCUUAUUAGAAAUUUAAAUGGAUUUCUGUUUCCCUUCUGUGUUUUUCAGGAGUGUACGCUGAAUUGCAUCAAUCAUUAUUAUCAAUGCACUUUUUGUUUUUUAUAUAAUGAUGAGUGUUUCACUUCGAUUUUUCCAAUUUUCAUCAGGACUGGAUCUGUGAUUCACAAACCAACCAUUUUUUAAAACAGCCGAAAAUUACGUCCUUCCACUUACUGAACGAUCAAAGCACAAAUCUGUCUAAAUGAAAUCAGUUAUGUGUUAUAUUCAGCUUUCAAAAAUUUGCAUUUGCAAUUUGAACAGGUCGCAAGGUUUCAGGUGCUCUAGAGCGCGAACUGGUUGUAGAUUGUACAGUCUUAGAAGCUAGUGUCGAAUAGUGUUGCAGCUGAGUAGGUCGUAGUGAUAAUAGUAGCCUAGGUUUUUUUGUUUUUUAACUAACGACACAACCUUAUAUAAUUGAAUCAGGGUUUCACUAUACAAAUGAAUAAUUCAAAGUAUUUAAGGCCACCUACAUAGCUUUUUUAAAAUAGGUAAAGAAAGGCUGGGGUGAAUGUAAUAUAACAUUAAAUAUUCUCGCAAUUUAAGAAGCUCUAAAGGUGAUGCUACAUAGUUUAAGUUUUGUCCACCUAACGGGUGUUUGUAUCAUCUAAAGCUAAUCGCCAUAGGUAUGAAGUUACCUAUCCUAAACUUCUCUUAACCGGACAAAAAUUCAGGAACCAAGUUUCUGAACAAAUUCCCCUCUAACAAUUGGACCCUCUAAUGACCGGACGCGGACACUUUUCUUUACUACUUUUUAUUUUCAUUACCUCUCUUAAGCGGAGGCGGACCUAUCGAUAACGGACAAGAAACUUGUAAAGAAAACAGUAAAAACCCUUGAUAAGCGCUUGUGAAAUGAAAUAAAUGUAGAGCAACUACAUACUCGGGCACACAUCAUAUCUACAACUGUGAGGACAAGCAUUAAAAUGUUAAGAUGCCACGGGAUCUAUAUGUAACAAUUUGUAGCUACAUAUUAAAAUGAAAAAAUCAAAAAUUAUGAUUCCUUCCAUUUGUCGCAAAACGUUUAGUCGUGUUAAUUAAUGAACCGAGAAAGGUUGCCAUAAAAAUUCUGUUUGUGCAAAUUACAAUAUGUUGUUUCCUCUGUCGAUUAUGUUAUUGCCCUUUCGCGGUCAAUAAGAAUGCAAUGUUGUAACGGAAUUAUGUUGUGUCCUCUGACGAUUAUUGUUAUUUAGAGUCAAAUAAGAGGACAAUGUUGUAACGCCGAGGCCGGAGCAAGUACGUUUAUCAUAGAUCAAAUACAAAAUGAACUUAAUAUUGAACUCUAAAAAUAUUACUGAACCUAAAAUCAUAAGUGUGCGUUACAAUACCCGGCAAGCCGAAUCAGCAUACGCCAAUACAUAGGCAAGUGUCGGGUUACCGCUGCUGGCCGUAGUGAUUGGGCAACGAACUAAUGCGUCAGCAGAAUUUUGCAAUGUAAACAAAGUGGAUUGCAUCAUUCUUGCAUUUUACAAUAAAAAGGUGCAAUUCUUACGUGUUAACUACUCCCUCCUCAAGCUCAUGACCGUCCCCGGUUAUUUUGUAGCUGUUGAUGGCCUUCCGUUCUUCCUUCGACGUUUGUCCUACUUUUAUGAUUUGACAAACGAUGAUAAAGCCAAUGCCAACAACUCAGAGCAAGAUGCCUGCUGCAAACUAAACGUUAUGUGAUCUGGCCUCCAACUAGUCCUUGACGCGCAAAUUGUGGUUAUUCAUCCUCUGCAGUUGGGGCAUGCUUAGCACUGGAUCGUGGCUGAUGAUGUUGAUUAGAGGUGACCCUGCUGCGCCUGGCUUUCUGUUCUUCGCGUCGAUUUACAUAUCUUGUGCCGUUAAUUGUGGCUGAAGAGAGAAAAGUGAGGAGAUGUGUCCAGUUUGUUCUAAUCUCCGGACCAUCGUCUGUGCUAACUUUCGCAGUGCUCUCGUUGAUAAUAAUAAUGCCGUCAUCAACUUGUAAUAUGGGCUUUAGGUGGCUUGGCUUAGUGUGUCUCCGGCGUGCAAUGCUCGUGCGCAUGUGUCUUGCGCUGCCAGUUUACAGACGGCGGCAUAGGUCGUCGUAACGCAUUCAUUUACCGCUGUUAUGUCAUCGUUGCAUUCGGCUAUGGUAUCAUCUUCCAGCUGUAGUGUGACGUGUUGGUGUGCCACCGGGAAGAUGGUGAUUUUCUUACAGAUAAGCUUGACCCUAGGAUACGCUAUAAAUGUAGGGACAAUAUUUUCGGACUGGAGGACCUUAACUUUAGAUGCUUCGUUCAGGCUAACUAUGGGAAUUCCGACAGGGUGUUCAUUCAUAAUUGACCUUAAAUCAUCAUGGUCAAAAAUAGUGGAAUUUAUUAUAUCCGCCUUAGCUAGCGUAAUGAUUUAUAUUUUGAAGACAGUUAUGUUGAAAGGACAACAACGAAAUUAUUUAGGCAGCGACGGUUCAUCAGAGAUCACUCUAAUCCCAUCGAACUUUCUUCAGUGUUGUAAGUAUCUAUUGCUAUAAAAGUGCAUAAACAAAUAUCACGUCACAUAAGUUUUUAUUAACAGAUUUAAAGAAAACUUUCGGUUAAGUAAGGAUACAUUUAUGUAUGUGCUAGACCGCAUAAAGGAAAAAAUGUCCGACUAACCUAUCGUCGUCAAUAUCGCCGAUGUUAAAAUUGUGCUGUGUUCUCAGAUUUUUGGCUGAUGGGAGCUAUCAGCAAGCAGUGGGAAAUGAUUUCCAACUAGGUAUUGCGCAGCCCACUGUUUCGUUGAUUUUUAAGGAAAUACUUCCAAUAUUGGAAUCCACUCUGUGCAGUGUCUGGAUCAAAACAGACAUAACUCAAGGGCAGAAACGAACAACAAGAAGGAAAUUUUUUACCAGAUCAGGAAUUCCAAAUGUGGCUGCGUUGAUGGAACCCAUGUUGCAAUUAUUGCUCCAUGUGAGAACAAGCACUUAUAUAUGAAUAGAAAAGGAUUUUACAGCAUAAAUGCGAUGAUUGCGUGCGAUCAGGAUAUGGUUAUACGGUGUCUUGAUGCAAGAUAUGGAAGAUCUAGCCACGACUCAUUGGUGUGGAACAAUAGCGCAUUAAAAACAGAUCUGGAU
rnacentral:lncRNA from 1 species